GGGGGCCUACUCGGUAACGCGAAAAUCGAAAUAACGUUCAACGUUCGGGCCAUUUUCGCACUCUGUAGGGAGAGUUUUACGCACGAACGAACGAAACAACGAAGUUUCGAUUUUCUAUACAAAAUGGUACUCUGAACUGCAAUGUCAAACACGUAAUAUUGAGUUUGACAGCUCAUUUACUGUCAGUUUUACUUCAAAUUUCACGUCUACACAAGAGGUAACGUUGAGAUAUUCGUUUUGCUGUAAUUGCUGAAAAUAACAUAAAGAAUGGCUAGGUAUUUGCUGAUGCAAGAAAUUCUUCGGGACGAGAGAAGGAAAAGGCGAGUGGCCCUAAGAAGAAACUUCCGCUUGCACACAAUUCCCGACUCUGAAUUCGUAAAUAACUACCGUCUGAAUCGGGAAUUGUCCGAAUUGUUCCAAACGCUGUGUGAAGAGAUUGUCCCGUUUCUUCCUCCAAGGAUACGACACCGGGGUAUUGAUCCCAUAAUGAAGGUAAAACUCAACAAGUAUCUUAUUUUCAUAUUACCUUUAACCAUAAAAAUCAGACGAUAAAUAACGUAAAUAUCAGACAAUGAUAAAACAUAACUGACUAACAUAAUUUCCGGAUUUAUUUCAGAUUUUGGUAGUAUUAAACUUCUAUGCAAGGGGUAGUUAUCAAGGUGCCGUAGGCCUCAACAGCGAUGUACCCAUGGCACAGCAAACUGUGUCUAGGUGCAUCCAUGAAUUCACGGAUGCCUUGAAUAGAGCUGAGAUUUUGAGGAAGUACAUUCGCUUCCCACAAAAUAGGGAAGAAAGGAAUGUCAUCAAACAAAAAUUUUCCGAUAGAUAUGGGAUACCGGGGGUAUGUGGCUGCAUAGACUGCACCCACAUUAAAAUAAUAAGGCCCGCUGAGCAUUAAGAGCGGUGCUUUAAUAGGAAACAUUGGCAUUCCAUUAACUGCCAAGUGAUUUGUGACUCUGAUUGCCUUAUAUUGAGUAUUGAUGCAUCAUACACAUCAUCAUACAUUGGGCAUAUGGGCCCAACAUGAGAUAAAAGCUCACAUGGAAGAACUCUCAAUACAGGGAGGGACUACAUACCUACUGGGUAAAUGUUCCAAAUAUAAAUUUAUCCAUUCUCAACCUAAACUAUCUCAAAGCCCAAAGCGAGGUGAUGGAUGUAUUAUGUAUGUUGGUAACCCAAAAUAAUAAUGUAUUAAUAAUUUCAUAACAUGUUCUACAGGUGACUCAGGGUAUCCUCUCUGGUCAUUCAUGAUGACUCCAGUGGACCAUGCAGUAGACGACUCACCUGAAGGGCGCUACAAUAUAAUUCAGAAACGUGCCCGUUCCACUGUAGAGCACACAUUUGGAAUACUAAAAGGGAGAUGGAGAUGCUUAUUAGCCGCCAGAGAAUUAAAUUACAAUCCUGAGACCGCUGGCAAAAUUGCACUGUAUUGCACAACAUGUGCAUACAUGCUCGGCUCGACCAUCCUGAAUUAGCAGAGGAGGACCUCGCAGCUGAGAACGCCCUGCCCAUUCCCCAGCAAGCUGCAAUUCCACAAGGACGGGCAUUGGAGGAAGGAAGAAGAGUACGCAGAGUACUAAUACAUUUAUUAGAGGCAUAAUAUGCCCCCGGCUUUGUAUGGAUAUACUUAUAUGUAUAAGACAAAACAAUCCUUAUUGUGAGGUUGUAGAAGAGAUUACUUUUAGUAAUACGGCCGCUGAUUGUACUAUUUCUUUUCUAUUUUUGUGAAACUGUUUCUGUUUGUGUGCAAUAAAGAGUAUUUUAUCUUUA